AUUGAACGCUGGCGGCAGGCCUAACACAUGCAAGUCGAGCGGAUGAAGGGAGCUUGCUCCUGGAUUCAGCGGCGGACGGGUGAGUAAUGCCUAGGAAUCUGCCUGGUAGUGGGGGAUAACGUCCGGAAACGGGCGCUAAUACCGCAUACGUCCUGCGGGAGAAAGUGGGGGAUCUUCGGACCUCACGCUAUCAGAUGAGCCUAGGUCGGAUUAGCUAGUUGGUGGGGUAAAGGCCUACAAAGGCGACGAUCCGUAACUGGUCUGAGAGGAUGAUCAGUCACACUGGAACUGAGACACGGUCCAGACUCCUACGGGAGGCAGCAGUGGGGAAUAUUGGACAAUGGGCGAAAGCCUGAUCCAGCCAUGCCGCGUGUGUGAAGAAGGUCUUCGGAUUGUAAAGCACUUUAAGUUGGGAGGAAGGGCAGUAAGUUAAUACCUUGCUGUUUUGACGUUACCAACAGAAUAAGCACCGGCUAACUUCGUG
rnacentral:rRNA from 1 species